rnacentral:rRNA from 1 species
UACGUAGGGGGCAAGCGUUGUCCGGAUUUAUUGGGCGUAAAGAGCGUGUAGGCGGUCAGGUAGGUCCGUUGUGAAAACUCGAGGCUCGACCUCGAGACGCCGAUGGAAACCAUCUGACUAGAGUCCGGAAGAGGAGAGUGGAAUUCCUGGUGUAGCGGUGAAAUGCGCAGAUAUCAGGAAGAACACCAGUGGCGAAGGCGACUUACUGGACACGUAUUGACGCUGAGGUGCGAAAGCGUGGGGAGCAAACAGG